AAUAGGCAUAAUUGGGCUAGUAAGGUGACGUAAACACGGUACUUGGAGCCUUAUGCAACUGUUUUGUAAUCAGUAGGUUGUUGGUUCAAGUCCAAUUUUCGGCACCA
rnacentral:tRNA from 1 species